rnacentral:tRNA from 1 species
GGCCGGUUAGCACAAUUGGUAGUGUGUCUGACUACGAAGGUCGAAAGACCGAGAACAUCAGGAGGUUGCGGGUUCGAGCCCCGUGCUGGUCA